CCUUGCUCGGCCCCUGUUUCUGCGCUUGUUUACGCUGGUUCUGCCAUUGCUGCCACAACCCGUCUCGAAUUUCUUCUAAUUUCGACACUUAGAGGGCGCUGCUACUCUAAAUGAUUGAAAGAUGGUCAUCGUUGUUUGAAAAGAGCAAUGCAUCACAAUUGCCCUGUUUGCUUUGAGGAGAAAAUAGUUCUGCUUUGUCAUCAGCUCCUACUCUGUCAUCUGCUGCUGUUCCGUGCUCUCCUCUCUGCUUGCGUCCACUACGCCGUCCCCCACCUCGUCUGCUGAGCAUGUAAAGUGGCUGGAAAUUCUGAGUUGAUUCUCUCAAUGGCCUGAAUGACUCAAGUAAAAUUGCUGCAUUUGAUUUUGAUGGCCUAAAUGACUCAAGUAAAAAUCUUAGAAUUCUGGAGAAGGUUGCCCAAAUAUUCAAAGAGGAUUUGAAGUUUGGUGGAGAAGAGCUUUCUAGAAGCGGAAUGGAGAGUAAGAAUAGACAAGACAAUUACGAAUUACAGCUACAACAGUUGAUAAUCCUUGAAGACAAACAACCUAGCAUGGUGGAAUUGACAGCAUUUUACUGGUUACAUGGAAGAAAUAAGAGUUCAUGUGCUAUCAAUUUAAUUUAGUGGAUAAGAUUUCAUGUUUAACUGGCUACCGCAAGGUGGGGCUGGUGGUCUAAGUUUUCUACUUUGUGUGCGAGACUAUACUAAGCAAAGUAACUGCUGAUGUUGACAAAGGGGUCCAUGAUGAGACUGGUUUCUUUUAGGUGGUUCUGUUUUUUGAAAAUAUGGGCUUGGAUAAAGAAACUAUUGGGAGAAUUAUUUUU